ensembl:lncRNA
UCCCUCUCUCUGCCUCCCCCCCCCCCUCCGCCUAGCGUCUGGUAUAAUGGAGGGCUUGUGCCAUGCGCUGGCUGUUGACUUUAAUGGUUGAACCUUUGGCUGGUGUGUUCUCGUAGUACGCUGGUGGGCGGUGCGGUGAGUCAUUUGGGGGGCAGGCUGCGCUCAACACCCUGUUGGCGUGCUGAGGUCAAGCUUUUAUUGACCCAUUAAAAACAUUUGUUUAAGCGGUUGAAGUUUAGAACAAAUGGUUAUUAUUAUUAUGCAACAGAGGGUUUGUGUACCGUCCACCGUCAGUCAACAGCUCUUGUUUGUGGCCUUUCACAUUUUAAAUCUGAAUCUUGCUAAACCUAGGAAAUGUGUUCCUAUUUAUUCAUUGCUAAGAAUCUUGUCGAUGAUUAAGAGGUCACUAGUUGUGUAGCUUCUAUUGCUGGGGUUCCACGCCGCCCUCAGUGUGUGAAGCUCUUACCGUAUGUCUUCCCCUUUCGACUUUGUGUUUUCUGUGCCAAAGUGAGUCACUGGGGUUCAGAGGCUGUUGGCGGAGGGUGUGUCUGUGUGGGAACCUUAAUGCUCUCAUCGCCCCCCGCCGCCCCCUCUAGUCUGAUGUAGAACGCCGUGCCUUUCAGGGAGCAGACGUGACGGACCCCGGCACGGAGACGGAGGAGAGCCUGGGGCCGUCAGAGCAGAGGCCGGCGGACACACCCAGCUUUGAGAGCAGCACAAUGGAGGUCUUCUCCACAGAGCCCCCCAUCCCGACCGCACGCAUGCCCCAGUCGCCAAGGAGACCGCCGCACCAGCUGCCCUCUCGCCCCAACAUCCAGACGCCCUCCUCCCAGGAGCCCGGGGCCCAGCGGAACCCCGUCCGUCUGCAGUCGAU